UGCAUAUCAAAAAAGCGGAGGAAAAGAAACCAACAGGGAUUGCCUCAGUAACGGCGAGUGAAGCGGCAACAGCUCAAAUUUGAAAUCUGGCCUCUUCGGGGUCCGAGUUGUAAUUUGUAGAGGAUGUUUCGGGUACCGCCUCGGUCUAAAUUUCUUGGAACAGAAUGUCAGAGAGGGUGAGAAUCCCGUCUUGGACCGGCGGUAGGGCCCAUGUGAAACUCCUUCGACGAGUCGAGUUGUUUGGGAAUGCAGCUCAAAAUGGGUGGUAAAUUUCAUCUAAAGCUAAAUAUUGGCCAGAGACCGAUAGCGCACAAGUAGAGUGAUCGAAAGAUGAAAAGAACUUUGAAAAGAGAGUUAAACAGUAUGUGAAAUUGUUGAAAGGGAAGCGCUUGCAACCAGACUUGAGCGCGGCGGUUCCCCCUUCCUUCUGGUUGGGUUACUCCGCCGUGUCCAGGCCAACAUCGGUUCUGGGGGUCGGUUAAAGGCUUGGGGAAUGUAUCUACUCCUUCGGGGGUAGACUUAUAGCCCCAGGUGUCAUGCGACCUCCCGGGACCGAGGAACGCGCUUCGGCUCGGAUGUUGGCGUAAUGGUUGUCAGCGACCCGUCUUGAACCACCGGACCA
rnacentral:rRNA from 1 species